GCCUUCGUGGUGUAAUUGGAAGGAUAUUCAACUCGUAUUCGAGAGGUCCAGGGUUCGAGUCCCGGCGAGGGCG
rnacentral:tRNA from 1 species